AGUGCCAUGAUGAGCUGCUAACAUGUAAGAAGAUCUGAUCAACUGAUUGGGUCUUCAAUGAAAUAUACUUGUUACGCUUGGCUUCUGAGUCUU